UAUAAUGUCGGAUUUUCAUGUUAAACAGGGCCAAAACUUCAAAUAAUGAGGUAAACAUAUUUUAGAGAUAUCCCCGUGAGCUAAAAUGUUCAGAUUUCCGGCUGUUCUGAACGUUCCGGUGUGACAUGAGACAGU